UACGAAGGGGGCUAGCGUUGCUCGGAAUUACUGGGCGUAAAGGGUGCGUAGGCGGGUCGUCAAGUUGGGGGUGAAAGCCCAGGGCUCAACCUUGGAAUUGCCUUCAAAACUGACGAUCUAGAGUAUGGAAGAGGUAAGUGGAACUCCGAGUGUAGAGGUGAAAUUCGUAGAUAUUCGGAAGAACACCAGUGGCGAAGGCGACUUACUGGUCCAUGACUGACGCUGAGGCUCGAAAGCGUGGGGAGCAAACAGG
rnacentral:rRNA from 1 species